rnacentral:misc_RNA from 1 species
GCAAACUUGGUCAUUUAGAGGAAGUAAAAGUCGUAACAAGGUUUCCGUAGGUGAACCUGCGGAAGGAUCAUUACCGAGUUAGGGUUGCCCCACAGGGUGCCCGACCUCCCAACCCUAUGUCUAUGUUACCUUCAGUUGCUUCGGUGGGCCGGUCGACCUUCGACCGCCGGUCCCAUGGACUGGAGAGCUCGCCUGCCGAUGGCCUCUACACAAACUCUUUGUACCAAAAGCCUGUCGUCUGAAUAUAACUUGAUGUUAAAUCAAAAAACAAAACUUUCAACAACGGAUCUCUUGGUUCUGGCAUCGAUGAAGAACGCAGC